AACUUUGAACGCACCUUGCGCUYCUUGGUAUUCAUUGGAGCAUGCCUGUUUGAGUAUCAAGAAAUCUUCAAAGUAAACCUUUUGUUAAUUCAAUUGAUUCUUUACUUUGGUAUGGAGGUCAUUGCAGUUUCACAGCUGCUCCUCUUUGUUCAUUA
rnacentral:rRNA from 1 species